AAUACUGAACUGUGUUACAGCUACUAGAGGUCCAACGACUCUGAUCACAGUGACUACAAACAUGCCAACAACAUCACCAACAGGAUCUUCAGCAUUUCCAUCUUCAACUGACUUGAUACCUACUGGAGCCAGAAAUGGGAAACACACAACGCAUUUCACCAGUUUGUCUCUGCUGAAAAUUCUCCUACCAUCAUGUGGAUUUCUACUGCUUCUUCUGCUUGAUGUGAUGGGAACCUGGAAGCUGUGGCAAAUGCGGAAGAGAAGAACAAGAAAAGGCAACAGA